rnacentral:lncRNA from 1 species
GUGGAAUGAUAUGGCCUAAUGUACACUUCAGAAACAAAUUUAGUAAGUGCAUAAAAUGGAUUUGAGAGAAAGGUUUGAAAGAAGAGUUGAUGGCAGAAAAUAAUGGUGACAGAGAUUAUUAGUAGGUAACUUAGAAGCUAGAUAUGUUUAGCUUGGUAUGUAUAAUGUGUAACUCCUGGGAUCAUGUGAGUAUUAAGUUGGUAUGUGUAAUGUAUAAUUCCUAGGAUCAUAUGAGUAUUAAGCCCAGUGCUUAGCCUUAGAGCUCACACUCAAUUUAUAUUGCUGCUGCUGCUGCUAAGCUGCUUCAGUCGUGUCCGACUCUGUGCAACCCCAUAGACGGCAGCCCACCAGGCUCCCCCAUCCCUGGGAUUCUCUAGGUAAGAAUACUGGAGUGGGUUGCCAUUUCCUUCUCCACAAUUUAUAUUAGUUAUAAUUAUUGUCAGUGUGAUAUCUUUAAACAAAAAUUAUUGAAUAUUAUAAAUUAAAUGGCUCCAUGAUUAAAUGAUAAAUUGAUAAAAUGAAAAAGUGGAUUUUGAUCAAGAAGACAAUGACUUAAUUUUUAACAUAUUGAGUAUGAGAUUUCCAUUAAUAUACAGGGUUAUGUGUGCAGAAAUCAGAUGGAAAUAGAGAUUAAGAGUUCAAAUGAGAGGCUUGGGUAUGUAGACUGAGAAGAGGUUGGAUCCAUGGCAACCAACAAUAUAUGGAAUACAACAGAAGCACUGGUAAUAAACCAGUUCACUUAGGGAGAGAAUCGCAAAUAAGAACAGAAUAGAAUACGAACAUAACCUCAGGUUCACUACCUUUUUCUUGUCCUAUGAAUGAAAGUCUUUCAGAGUGUAAAUGGCCAAGAAGAUAUGAGGAGAAUCAAGUUGAUGAAUGACUUGAAACCUAAAAAAUGCCCAAGGACACAAGACUAGAAAACGAUGAAGGUACUAAUUAAUCCAAGAGUAAGGUCAUUCCAGGGCUUAUGUGCUCCUUCCCUCCAACCAAAGCCUUGAGACAUGGAGUUUGUUUUUCCUCUUUUAAUGAUUCCAACUGCUAACAGAUUCAUAUAAGCAUGAGUUUUAAUUGUUUUAUAUUUAUACCUAUGAACUUAUUUUAAUGAAUCAAUAAUAAAUUUUGUAUCUCU